rnacentral:rRNA from 1 species
GACGAAGGAUGCAAGCGUUAUCCGGAUUCAUUGGGUUUAAAGGGCGCGUAGGCGGCCUUAUAAGUCAGUGGUGAAAUCUCUCGGCUUAACCGAGAAAUUGCCAUUGAUACUGUAGGGCUUGAGUACAGUUGCCGUUGGCGGAAUAUGAAAUGUAGUGGUGAAAUACAUAGAGAUGUCAUAGAACACCGAUUGCGAAGGCAGCUAACGAAGCUGUAACUGACGCUGAGGCUCGAAAGUGCGGGGAUCAAACAGG